AGUGAACGCUGGCGGUAGGCCUAACACAUGCAAGUCGAACGGCAGCACAGUAAGAGCUUGCUCUUACGGGUGGCGCGUGGCGGACGGGUGAGGAAUACAUCGGAAUCUACUUUUUCGUGGGGGAUAACGUAGGGAAACUUACGCUAAUACCGCAUACGACCUACGGGUGAAAGCAUGGGAUCUUCGGACCUUGCGCGAUUGAAUGAGCCGAUGUCGGAUUAGCUAGUUGGCGGGGUAAAGGCCCACCAAGGCGACGAUCCGUAGCUGGUCUGAGAGGAUGAUCAGCCACACUGGAACUGAGACACGGUCCAGACUCCUACGGGAGGCAGCAGUGGGGAAUAUUGGACAAUGGGCGCAAGCCUGAUCCAGCCAUACCGCGUGGGUGAAGAAGGCCUUCGGGUUGUAAAGCCCUUUUGUUGGGAAAGAAAAGCAGCAGGUUAAUCCCCCGCUGUUCUGACGGUACCCAAAGAAUAAGCACCGGCUAACUUCGUG
rnacentral:rRNA from 1 species